rnacentral:rRNA from 1 species
AUCCAGACUCCUACGGGAGGCAGCAGUGGGGAAUAUUGCACAAUGGGCGAAAGCCUGAUGCAGCAACGCCGCGUGAGUGAUGAAGGCCUUCGGGUCGUAAAACUCUGUCCUCAAGGAAGAUAAUGACGGUACUUGAGGAGGAAGCCCCGGCUAACUACGUGCCAGCAGCCGCGGUAAUACGUAGGGGGCUAGCGUUAUCCGGAUUUACUGGGCGUAAAGGGUGCGUAGGCGGUCUUUCAAGUCAGGAGUGAAAGGCUACGGCUCAACCGUAGUAAGCUCUUGAAACUGGGAGACUUGAGUGCAGGAGAGGAGAGUGGAAUUCCUAGUGUAGCGGUGAAAUGCGUAGAUAUCACGCAGAACUCCGAUUGCGAAGGCAGCAUACCGGCGCCCGACUGACGCUGAGGCACGAAAGCGUGGGUAUCGAACAGGAUUAGAUACCCCCGUA